AGCGAACGCUGGCGGCAGGCUUAACACAUGCAAGUCGAACGCCCCGCAAGGGGAGUGGCAGACGGGUGAGUAACACGUGGGAACGUACCCUUUGGUUCGGAAUAACUUGGGGAAACUCAAGCUAAUACCGGAUAAGCUCUUAUGGGGAAAGGUUUACUGCCGAAGGAUCGGCGCGCGUCUGAUUAGCUAGUUGGUGAGGUAAUGGCGCACCAAGGCGACGAGCAGUAGCAGGUCUGAGAGGAUGAUCAGCCACACGGGGACUGAGACACGGCCCAGACUCCUACGGGAGGCAGCAGUGGGGAAUAUUGGACAAUGGGGGCAACCCUGAUCCAGCCAUGCCGCGUGAGUGAUGAAGGCCUUAGGGUUGUAAAGCUCUUUUACCCGGGACGAUAAUGACUGUACCGGGAGAAUAAGCCCCGGCUAACUUCGUGCCAGCCGCCGCCGUAA
rnacentral:rRNA from 1 species